rnacentral:lncRNA from 1 species
UAACGACAACUAUCAGCAAGGCAAGUCAUUUGAUCAUGUAUUACCUAUGUUUUAUGCACUGUAGUUCUACCCUUCAAACACCCUAUUGCAUGCUGAGUAGGUACUUGGAAAUAUUGGUUACUUGUUGUAGUAUCAUGUGGUAGGCACCCAACAACCCCGUUACUUGGCCCAGGACGACAAAUUUUAUAUUGCUAUGCUUGUGUAGAUGGGGUUCUGGUUGAGAGUUUAUCACGAGUGAUGCGGGAAUAAUUUAAUAACCAAGACCGGUUAAGACAAGACUUUUCAAGACCUCGUGAUGCAAUGCAACUCUGGGUGAAGGACAGUUUAGAUGGGCCCCCUGGAGAAACCAGUGGAUGACCCGGGAUGCAUGGAGACGUGCCAUGACAUCUUAAGGAAAGCUUCACCCAGGCUCGAAGGGAUGGACGGAGGCCUCAAGACCCAAGGCUUACCUGCACAACCACAAGUCAUUAUGGGCUCUGGCUUGGUUGGACAACGCGGCGACUCUGGAUAGGCGGUGCUAGAAGAUGUAUAAGAACGGUAGGAUUGGAUGGGCACCGACAGGGGAUCAGAGGGACCCGUUGAAAGACCAUGUUUUGAUCAUCCGGUCUUCAAACACCCUGAAGUGCGAGGACAAACUCGGAGGCGAUCAAAUCUUGUGGGGAACGUGUGCAAAACUCUGCAGAGUACCCAAACCUAAUCGAUUAGCCGUGUGCACGGUCAUGGACAACUUGAGCCGAAGGCAUUGAAAUUUUCCUGAACUCUCAACACUAUUUAAAAAUGAUGUGGGGAUUAUCGACAACUCGGGUACGAGAAUUGGUUGGCGGAACCAUCUCGUUAAAAACAAACAAUGUAGAAAUGUUUUGCUUUUAGCCCUCUCUUGAUGUAGGAGAAAACUUGCUUUUCACUAAAAACUUAUAGCCCCACCUGCCAUAUAUGCAUGUAGAAUAGAUGAUUACUAUUUCACCCCCUCUCUUUGAUGACUUGCCGGCAUAUUCCAUAUGCUAACCUACACGGCUACAACGUAUCAUGUUGCGGAGUAUUUUUCCGACCAGGAGUGAGGCUACGAACUAUGCUCGGUGAUAUGCCCUGGAGUCGGAUGGACUCAUCUACCUUUGAAGCUUCCGCUAGUCUUCGUUAGUUAUCUCAUGAGAUGGCCUUCAGCCACUUUAUUGUAAUCCAUUAUUGUAAUAAAGUACUCGAUAUGAGAUUUUGAUUAAUAAAGCUGUGUGAUUGAACUCUUGAUAUAUACAUUGAUGUACUGAGUGUGUACCAGCAUGAUCUUGGGAUGGUACGGAAACACCAGAGACUUGGCCGUUUCAGGUCGGGUUGCUACAAAGCCAUCUAGCUACUAACUACGGACCCGUAGGUCUGAAGUGAACUACUCAUGAGUCAUUGGAGGGGCGAUGAUGUUGAUGUAGAAGCCCUCCAACUCCAAAGUCCCCUCCGGCAGGGCAACGGGAAGGGUCUCCAGAUGAGAUCUCGCGAAAACGGAAGCUUGCGGCGGCGGAAAAGUGUUUUCAUGGAUUCCCUGAUUUUUUCUGCAUUUUAGGGAAUAUAUAGGCGAAGGAGCUAGGUCAGGGGGCGCCAGGGAGGCCACAAGCCUGCUAGCCCCCCUUGGUGGCGGCUACAUGGCUUGUGGGCCCCCUGUAGCUCUCCUGGCUUGGCCCUCAAGCCCCUUGAUAUUCUUUCAUUCGGGAAAAAUUUAUUUCGGGGAUUUUAUUCCGUUUGGACUCUGUUCCAAAAUCAGAUCUGAAAAGAGCCAAAAACACAGAAAAAACAGGAACUGGCACUUGGCACUGAAUUAAUAAGUUAGUCCCAAAAAAAUAUAUAAAAGGUACAUAAAACAUCCAAAGAUGACAAUAUAACAACAUGAAACCAUCAAAAAUUGUUGAUACGUUUGAGGCGUAUCAAGCAUCCCCAAGCUUAACUCCUGCUCGUCCUUGAGUAGGGAAGUGAUAAAGAAUGAUUUUUUGAUGCUUUCAUGCUACCUAGCAUAGAUCUCCUUUGUAACUCCUCUUAUGUGACGUGAAUGUUCAGAUCCAUUAGAUUCAAAACAAUAGUUUGCUAUUGACGUGGAAACAAUAAUACUUCAAGCAAACUAGCAAGGUAAUCAUGAACUUUCAAAAUAACAAGGCCAAAAGAAAGUUAUCCCUACAAAAGCAUAUAGUCUGGCUAUGCUCUAUCAUCAUUGCACAACGAAUUUAAAUCAUGCACAACCCCGGUAUUGGCCAAGUAAUUGUUUUCACAGCUUUACUUUCUCAAACCAUUUCAACUCUCACGCAAUACAUGAGCGUGAGCCAUGGUUUUAGCACUAUAAGUGGUGUGGAGUGUGGUGGAGGUUGCAAAACAAACAAGGAGAAGAUGAUCACAUUAACUAGGCAUAUCAAUGAGUUGUGGAGAUGCUCAUCAAUAUAUAUCAAUGUGAAUGAGUAGGGAUUGCCAUACAAAUGAGGCACUGGAGCUAAGAGUGUGUGAAAGCUCUUAAAGAAAACUAGUGGGUGUGCAUCCAACUUGCUUGCUCACGAAGACCUAAGGCAAAUUUGAGGAAGCGUAUCAUUGGAAUAUACAAGCCAAGUUAUGUAAUGAAAAUUUCCCACUAGCUAUAUGGUGGUGACAAAAUGAGAGGCUCUCAAUCAUUAAGAUCAUGGUUCUUAAUAAGCACAAGUGUGGAAAGGUGGUAGCAUUGCCCCUUCUCUUUUUUCUCUCAUCAUUUUUUUUGUGGGCUCUUUGGCCUCUUUUUUUGGUGGGCAUCUUUGGCCUCAUUUUUUUCCUCACAUGGGACAAUGCUCCAUCAAUGAUGAUCAUCACACUUUCAACUCAAAACUUAGAGCAAUGAUGACUCUAUAUGGAAUGCCUUCGGUAGUGUACCGUGACAAUGAUCUAGCAUGGCAUAGACAUUAAUGGAAACAUCGUGCUAGCUAUCUUACGAUCAUGCAAUGGCAAUGUAGAAGUGGUGGCACAUGUCAUGGUGGUAGUUGCAUGACAAUAUAUCUCGGAAUGACUUUGAAAAAGCCAUAGUAGGUAGGUAUGGUGGCUGUUUUGAGGGAGGCUAAUGGUGGGUUUUGUGCACCGGCGAAAGUUGCACGACACUAAGAACAUAGUGAUGGUGGAAGGUGAAAGUGCAUCUAAACCAUGGACUCAGCAUGAGUCAUGAAGAACUCAUAUACUUGUUGCAAAAGUUUUAUUAGUAAUCAAAACAAAGCAUUCAACGCAUACUCCUAGGGGAAGGGUUGGUAGGUAUAAACCAUCGCGCGAUCCCGACCGCCACACAAAGGAUGACAAUCAAAAGACUAAUCAUGAUCAGACUUCAUCACAUAGUGGUUCACCAUACGUGCAUGCUACGGGAAUCACUGACUUCCACACAAGUAUUUCUAGAUACACAACACCUUACUAGCAUAACUUCAAUAUUACCACAACCACAACUCAAAACUAAUUGAGAUGAAUCAAACUUCUCUAACUAUUCAAUGCACAUGAAGGUGGAAGUUUUCGUAUCCCUUUGGAUAACAACCCCUUUUGAGACUACUUUCAUAGCAUAGAUCAACUACCAAGCCACGUACCGCUGUUCUCUAAAAGAUAUAAGUGAAGCACAUAGAGAAAAAUAAACUAGCUCAAAAGAUAUAAGUGAAGCACAUGUGAGCUGAAUUGUCUACCAAAGGAUAUAAUUGAAGCUCGACAAAAUCACGGUGAGUGCAUGUCUCUCUCUCUAGGUGUGCAGCAAGGAAGAUUGUGACACAACAAAAAUAAAAGACUCCUACGAUACAAGACGCUCCAAGCAAAACACAUAACAUGUGGUGAAUAAAAAUAUAGCCCCAAGUAACGUUACCGAUGGAUUUGAAGACGAAAGAGGGGAUGCCUUCCCGGGGCAUCCCCAAGCUUAGGCUUUUAUGGCAUCCUUGAAUCUCUUGGGGUGCCUUGGGCAUCCCCAAGCUUGAGCUCUUUCCACUCUUUAUCUCUUUGUCCAUAAGAACUUCACCCAAAACUUGAAAACUUCAAAACACGAAAAUUAAACAGAAACUCGUGAUAACAUUAGUAUAAGAAAGCAAACCACCACUUCCUUAGGUACUGUAGAAAACUUAAAUUAUACAUAUGUUGAUGUUGGGUUACUGUAUAUUCAAUCUUCCAUGGCUAAUACCCCCCGAUACUAUCCAUAGUUUCAUCAAAAUAAGCAACCAACUCAACAAAAACAGAAUCUGUUAACAGCAGACCAGUCUGUAGCAAUCUGUAUACUUCAUAUACUUCUGGUACUUCAGAAAUUCUUACAAAUGAUGACAGUCUGAAGAACUCGCGUAUCAAUCAGCAGCAAAAAGAAUAAACUCAAAAGCUCUUACAGAAGAAAAAAAAAUAAAAAUUCUUUUCGUGAGCAGAAAGUUUCUGUCUUUUCCAGCAUGACCAAACGAUCAUCCCCAAGACUAAUCAUAACGGUUUUUCUUGGCACAAACGCAAAAAGAAACACAAAAAACACAAUCAUAACAGAAUUAUGAAAGUGGGGAAAACACAAAACAGAAAGAAAAAGGAUAGAUUCGUAGGGUUGUCUCCCAACAAGUGCUUUGUUUAACGCCCUUUUCUAGGCAAAAGGUGAUGAAAUCACGUAUAGUAAUCUUUGGUGCCCAAACCAUAAGUAGCCCUCAUCAUAGAUUCAUAAGACAAUCUUAUUUUUAUUUCUAGGAAAGUGCUCCAUGCCCUUCUUUAAUUGAAAUCUAAUAUUCCCUUCCUUCAUAUUGAUGAUAGCACCAAUAGUCAUUAGGAAAGGUCUACCAAGAAUAAUGGGACAUGAAGGAUUGCAAUCUAUGUCAAGUACAAUGAAUCCGUGGGUACAUAGUUCUUAUUUGCAACAAUAAGAACAUCAUCGAUCCUUCCCAUGGGUUUCUUGACAGUAGAAUCCGCAAGAUGCAAAUUAAGAGAACACUCUUCAAUCUCAUGAAAACCAAGAAUAUCACAUAAAGACUUUGGAACCGCGGAAACACUAGCACCCAAAUCACACAAAGCAUUGCACUCAUAGUUUUUGAUCUUGAUUUUGAUAGUAGGUUCCCACUCAUCAUGAAGUUUUCUAGGUAUAGAGACUUCUAAUUCGAGCUUCUCUUCAAGAGAUUUCAUCAUAGCAUCUACGAUAUGCGCGGUAAAGGCUUUGCUUUGGCUAUAAGCGUGUGGAGAGUUUGCAAUGGAUUGCAUCAAAGAAAUGCAUUCAAACAGGGAGCAAUUAUCAUAAUUGAAUUCCUUGAAAUCCAAUGUGGGAGUUUCAUUACUACCCAAAAUUUUGAUUUCUUCUACUCCACUCUCCACACCUUUAUCAUCAAGAUGGGUAGACUUCGAAUCAUUGGGGCGUUUUUCAACCAAAGUGGAUUCAUAUCCAGCCCCUUCAUCAAUAGGUUUGACACGCGAAAACAAAGAUUCAAGAGGAGUCACACCAAGCACUUUAAGAUCUUCAUGAUUUGCAUCACUAGAACGCACCCUUUUAAACCAUUCAUGCCUAGCGCGAAUUUGAGUGGUUCUUUCUUUGCUCUCAUUCAUGAGACGCGCAUAGCUUUUAAAGUUUCAUCCAAGUUGACCUUGGGAGAAGCACAUCUAACUUUCAAAGCAUCAAUAUCACAAGACAUCCUAUCAACGCUCUUAGCCAAAUCGUCUAUUUUGAGUAGUUUUUCCUCUAUGGACGCAUUGAAAAUAUUUUGAGAGUUGAUGAAAUCUUUGAUAUUACUCUCUAAAUCAGAGGGUAAAUUGUUGUGAUUUACAUAAGUGUUGUUGUAGGAAUUGCCAUAAUUGUUAGAGGAGUUACUAGGAAAAGGCCUAGGAACAUAGUUUCCUCUAAAAGCAUUGUUGUUGCCAAAAUUGUUCCUACCAACAAAAUUAACGUCCAAACUAGCGUUGCUACUCUCAAUCAAAGAAUAUAGUGGCAUGUCAUUAGGAUCUAAAGGAGUGUUUCUACUAGCAACCAAAUUCAUCAACUCGUCCAUCUUAGCACUAAGCGAGUUAAUUUCUUCUAUAGCGUGUACCUUUUUGCUAGGAGGCGACCUUUCAGUGUGCCACUGAGAGUAGUUGGUCAUGAUAUUGUCUAGGAGUUUUGUAGCGUCUCCUAACGUGAUUUCCAUGAACGUUCCACCUGAGGCGGAGUCCAAUAUAUUGCGAGAAGCGAAAUUCAAGCCAGCGUAAAAGAUUUGUAUAAUCAUCCACAAACUCAAGCCAUGAGCGGGACAAUUUCUAAUCAUAAGCUUCAUCCUCUCCCAAGAUUGUGCAAUGUGUUCAUGAUCAAGUUUCUUGAAAUUCAUGAUAUCGUUACGUAAGGAGAUGAUCUUAGCCGGCGGAAAAUACUUGGAUAUGUAAGCAUCUUUGCACUUAUCCCAAGAAUCAAUACUAUUUUUAGGCAAAGAAGAAAACCAAGUUUUUGCGCGAUCUCGCAACGAGAAAGGAAAAAGCUUCAACUUAAUCACGUCUUUAUCCACAUCUCUUUUCUUUUGCAUAUCGCAAAUCUCAAUGAAGGUAUUGAGAUGCGAUGUGGCAUCUGCACUAGGAAGGCCAGAGAAUUGCUCUUUCAUAACAAGAUUCAGCAAAGCUGCGUUGAUUUCAUACAAUUCCGCACUAGUGGCGGGAGCAAUCGGAGUACUAAUAAAAUCAUUAUUAUUGGUACUCGAGAAGUCGCAAAGUUUGGUGUUUUCAGCCAUGAUGACUUCAACAAACAAACAAGCACACAAGCAAGCAAGAAAACCGGCAAAGGAAAACGGCAAAAAGGCAAAAGGCAAAAGAAAACGGCAAAGGAGAAAGGCAAAUGAAAACGGCAAAUGUGAAGUGGGGGAGAGAAAAACGAGAGGCAACUGGCAAAAAAGUAAAUGCAAGAGAUGAGUUUGUGAGACCUACUUGGAUAGAUCUCUCCUUCCCCGGCAACGGCACCAGAAAUACUUCUGCUACUGCAACAAAAGACCUUCCAACGGUGCCAGAAACACGUGCUGACGGGAGACUAUUCUUGUCUUGAUACUCCUCAGCAACGACACCAGGAAUCCUUCGGCUACGGCUACGCCUUUAGGGACUUCCUAGGAAAAUAUGCAAAGGAUUCCCCCGUGGCCUUGGAGCCUUGCGUUGGUGUUCCCUCGAAGCGGAAAGGGUGAUGUAGCACAGCGGUGGUAAGUAUUUCCCUCGGUUUUGAGAACCAAGGUAUCAAUCCAGUGAAGGAGUAUCACAAGUACCUGCACAAACACAAAAAGCUUGCUCCCAUCGCUAUGAAGGGGUUUUCAAUCCCUUAUAGAUUGUUUGCCAAGUGAGAACUAAAAGCAACAAAGUAACAAAGCAAAGUACAAGCAAAAGUGGAAACGAUCGGUGUGAAUAGACCCGGGGGCCAUAGUGUUCACUAGUGGCUUCUCUCAUGAAAGCAAGUAGACGGUGGGUGAACAAAUUACUGUCGAGCAAUUGAUAGAACCACGCAAAGUCGUGACGUCAUCUAUGGCAAUGAUUAUAUCUAUAGGCAUCACAUCCAAACCAAGUAGACGAUACUUUCUGCAUCUACUACUAUUACUCCACACGUCGACCGCUAUCCAGCAUGCAUCUAGUGUAUUAAGUCCAAAAGAACAGAGUAACGCCUUAAGCAAGAUGACAUGAUGUAGAUGGACAAUCUCAUAUCUACGACAAAGCCCAUCUUGUUACCCUUGAUGGAAACUACACGAUGUGUGCCUUGCUGCCCCUACUGUCACUGGGAAAGGUCACCACACGGUAAGAACCCAAAACCAAGCACUUCUCCCAUUGCAAGCAUCAUAGAUCUAGUUGGACAAACAAAACCCAAGACUCGGAGAGACUUACAAGAAUAUCAAAUCAUGCAUAUAAGAAAUCAGCAAAGACUCAAAUAUAUAUCAUAAAUAAUCUGAUCACAAAUCCACAAUUCAUCGGAUCUCGACAAACACACCGCCAAAGAGGAUUACAUCGGAUAGAUCUCCAUGAAGAUCAUGGAGAACUUUCUAUUGAAGAUCCAAGAGAGAGAGGAAGCCAUCUAGCUACUAACUACGGACCCGUAGGUUUGAAGUGAACUACUCACGAGUCAUUGGAGGGGUGAUGAUGUUGAUGUAGAAGCCCUCCAACUCCAAAGUCCCCUUCGGCAGGGCACCAGGAAGGGUCUCCAGAUGAGAUCACGCGGAAACGGAAGCUUGCGGCGGCGGAAAAGUGUUUUCGUGGAUUCCCUGAUUUUUUUUCUGUAUUUUAGGGAAUAUAUAGGCGAAGGAGCUAGGUCAGGGGGCGCUAGGGAGGCCACAAGCCUACUAGCCGCCGCCCCCUGGUGGCGGCUACAGGGCUUGUGGGCCCCCUGUAGCUCUCCUGGCUUGGUCCUCAAGCCCCCUGAUCUUCUUCCGUUUGGGAAAAUUUUAUUUCAGGGAUUUUAUUCCGUUUGGAGUCUGUUCCAAAAUCAGAUCUCAAAAGAGCAAAAGACACAGAAAAAACAGGAACUGGCACUUGGCACUGAAUUAAUAAGUUAGUCCCAAAAAUAUAUAUAUAAGGUACAUAAAACAUCCAAAGAUGACAAGAUAACAGCAUGAAACCAUCAAAAAUUAUAGAUACGUUUGAGACAUAUCAGGAGUCCACAGUUAUGGGUCCUCUACAAAACUUUUCCAACUCUUACUUUAGCUUUUUUAUUCUCCUUUUUGGACCUCUUAGUGUUUGCCAGUCCCUAUUAUGCAAAUCCGCCUUUACCACACGAGCACGUUCAGCGAGAUAUGGACCCACACCCAACCUCCUCGCCUUAUCCCAUGAUGCACGUACACUUUCCACUACUGUUUCCUCUCUUAACCAACAAGCUUCAAAUUGUUUCUCUCAUCCUUUGGGGGCGGGGUUAAAAAUAUUUUCAUCAUAAUAAUCCAUAUCUAGGAUGAGUGCACGAUGAUCUGAAUGAACAUGUUCCUCAUUGAUGAUAGUCGCUUGAGGGAAUUUGGUCGCCCACUCCACAUUACAAACCCCACGGUCCAGUCUUCCCCUUGUAUCACCUCUCCUCCAUGUGAAGGGAUCGCCAAUAUAGCCAAUGUCCUCAAGGCCACACUCCCCUAGACAAUUACGGAACUCUCUCAUGAUAGAAUUAGGUCUCACGUUUCCCCCUUCUUUCUCUGAAGAGAUUAGGAUUUCGUUAAAAUCCCAUAAUACCACCCAAGGGUGAUCUCCCUUACUAUGUAGAUUCCGAAUAUUAUCCCAAGAUAAGUGACGCUCGCUCCAGACUAGGUGGCCAUAAAAAGUCGUAAACUGCCAUUGUACUAAAUUAUAAUGAAACCACAAGACUAGGCCCCGGCCCGACCAUCACUCUCCACCACAAAUCAUCGAAUCAAAAAAUAAACUACGACAAAGUUCAUUGGCUUUACAUUUAUUCAAGUGAGACUCAGAAAGAAAAAUCAAAUCUGCCUUUAUACGCCCUUGGAGUUCCAAGAGCUCACGAACUACCGUGGGGGGAGGAUACCACGGUAGUUCCAACCUAGGAUUUUCAUUUGGCCCGGCGGACCUCCUCCUUGGAGGUCGCCGAUGCGCCAUCAUCUCUGACCAACUCCCUUCUCUGUUGUAGAUAAACCUCCUCCUCUUUUGUUUCCUUCCCUACAUGAGUGACUAUCCCAUCAUGUAUCUCAUAGUAUCUACUCUUCCCAUACAAAUUCUCUUUGAGGACACACUCAUCUCACCAUACAACAGUUGUUCAUAGCUCUCUAUUUCUCUCUCAAAAGAAAAUUUCAAAUCACUCCCUGUUGGUGGAGCACCAAAAGGAUUACCCAUCUUUUUCCCUAUGAUUUCCUUACAUGCACUGUCAACUUUUCGAUUCCAUCCCUUAUUUUUUUCCCUCUUCUCCUUUCUCCUUGCCUGAUCCUACAUAGUUCCAACAUUAAAAGUAAACACUGCAGAAUCUUUAGCCAUGUCAGGAGCGGCCAAUCUGGUAGCCACAACACCUGAACAAAAAUUGGUGUUGGAAAUUUGUAGUAUACACCACAACACCCUGCAGAGUACUAGUAGCACCAAAAGCAGAACUGCAGUAGCCCUUUUGGCCAUCCUUGCAUUCCACAUGCACAGCCGCAGCACCCAGGCGCUGCACUACACGGUCCUCCUAGCAAUGAAUAUGGAUCUGAAGGGUGCAGCCCCCACCCGCCACCCCCAUCCCUCCUGGCGAGAGUCAGCAGGAGCUGUGAGCGGUACUAGCAGGUCCUCCCAACCGUGGCCAGCACCUGGUUGAGUCAUUGUAGGAGACGGUUGAGUGGUCACACCGAUGAGCUGCACUACACAAACCUCCUGGCCAUGUAGCUUGACUGAGGAGUGAAGCCUCCACCCACAAACCCCUGGCCCUCCCGGCCAAAGUCAGUGGGAGCUGUCAGCGGCACUGCCAAGUCCUCCCGGCCGUGGCGAGCAGCUGCUAGAGUCAGCUGUGGGAAAUGUAGUGGUAAUUCAAAAAAAUCCUACGUCAUACCAAGGUCUAUCUAUGAGAAACCAACAACGAGAGAGGUUGUAGAGCAUCUUUGUACCUUUUAAGAUCUCUAAGCGGAAGCGUUACUAUGAACGCGGUUGAUGGAAUGGUACUCGCAGUGAUUCUGAUAGCGGAAGAUUCCGAUCUAAGCGCCGAACAACGACACCUCCUCGUUCAACACACGUGCACCCCGGUGACGUCUCCUUCACCUUGAUCCAGCAAGGAGAGAGGAGAAGUUGAGGGAGAGCUCCGAUACCACGAUGGCGUGGUGACGGUGGAGCUGCGUGGUACUCCGACAGGGCUUCGCCAAGCGCUACGGAGGACAAGGAGGAGGAGAGGUAGGGAUGCAUCGAGGGAGAGAUGAACUUGUGUGUCUCAACCCCAAAACCCCUUGGGUGUAUAUAGGAAGAUGAGGAGGGCUGGCCGGCCACCCUAGGGUUUCCCCUAUGUGGUGCGGCGCACCCUAGAUGGAGGGGCGGCGGCCGAAGAGGAGUAGGGGUGGCACCCUAGGGGGUGGCUUGCCACCCAAGGCAGCCACCACGCCCUAGGGUUUGCUGCCCUGUGCGCCUUGGGCCAAGGUGGGUGGCGCACCAGCCCAUCUAGGGGCUCGUUCCCAUCCACUUUUGGUCCACGUGGCCCUUUGGGGCUGGUGGCCCCUCCCGGUGGACCCCCAGAACCCUUCCAGUGGUCCCGGUACAAUACCAAUGAUCCCCGAAAUAUUUCCGACGACCAAAUCUCCACUUCCUAUAUAUGAAUCUUUACCCCUCGGACCAUUGCGAUGCUCCUCGUGAUGUCCGAGAUCUCAUCCGGGACUCCGAACAACCUUCGGUAACCACAUACUAUUCCCAUUACAACUCUAGCGUCAUCGAACCUUAAGUGUGUAGACCCUACGGGUUCGGUAACCAUGCAGACAUGACCGAGACACCUCUCCGGUCAAUAACCAACAGCGGGGUAUGGAUAUCCAUGUUGGCUCCCACAUGUUCCGUGAUGAUCUCAUCGGAUGAACCACGAUGUCGGGGAUUCAAACAAUCCUGUAUGCAAUUCCCUUUGUCUAUCGGUAUAUAACUUGCCCGAGAUUUGAUCAUCAGUAUCCCUAUACCUUGUUCAAUCUCGUUACUGGCAAGUCUCUUUAGUCGUUCCGUAAUACAUCAUCUCGUGACUAACUCCUUAGUAACAUUGAGCAAGUUACGAUGAUGGAUUACCGAGUGGGCCCAUAGAUACCUCUCCGUCACACGGAGUGACAAAUCCCAGUCUCGAUUCGUACCAACCCAAAAGAUACUUUCGGAGAUACCUGUAGUGCACCUUUAUAAUCACCCAGUUAUGUUGUGACGUUUGAUACACCCAAAGCACUCCUACGGUAUCCGGGAGUUGCACAAUCUCAUGGUCUAAGGAAAUGAUACUUGACAUGUGAAAAGCUUUAGCAGACGAACAAUACGAUCUAGUCAUAUGCUUAGGAUUGGGUCUUGUCCAUCACAUCAUUCUCCUAAUGAUGUGAUCUCGUUAUCAAUCACAUCCAAUGUCCAUGGCUAGGAAACCAUAACCAUCUAUUGAUCAAUGAGCUAGCCAACUAGAGUCUCACUAGGGACAUGUUGUGGUCUAUAUAUUCACACAUGUAUUACGGUUUCUGGUUAAUACAAUUAUAGCAUGAAUAAUAGACAAUUAUCAUGAACUAGAAAAUAUAAUAAUAACCACUUUAUUAUUGCCUCUAGGGCAUAUUUCCAAUAGCCUCCCACUUGCACUAGAGUCAGCCAUCUAGUUACAUUGUGAUGAAUCGUAACACCCAUUGAGUUCUGGUGCUGAUCAUGUUUCACUCAUGGAAGAGGUUUAGUCAAUGGAUCUGUGAUAUUCAGACCCGUAUGUACUUUACAAACAUCUAUAUCUCCAUCGUGGAUGUAUCCACGAACGGAGUUGAAACGGCACUUGAUGUGCUUGGUCUUCUUGUGAAACCUGAGCUCCUUGGCAAUGGCAAUAGCUCCAGUGUUGUCAUAGAAGAUAGUCAUCGGGCCCGACGUACUCGGAAUCACUCCUAGGUCGGUGAUGAAUUCCUUCAUCCAGACUCUGUCCUGUGCUGCUUCCGAAGCAGCUAUGUACUCCGCUUCACAUGUAGAUGCCGCCACGAUGCUUUGCUUGCAACUGCACCAGCUGACUGCCCCACCAUUCAAAAUAUACAUGUAUCUUGUUUAUGACUUGGAGUCAUCCGGGUGUGUGUCGAAGCUAGCAUCGACGUAGCCCUUUACGACGAGCUCUUCGACACCUCCAUAGACGAGAAACAUAUCUUUAGUCCUUUUUAGGUACUUAAGGAUAUUCUUGACCACUCUCCAGUCAUCCAUUCCUGGAUCACUUUGGUACCUCCCUACCAAACUUAUGGCAAGGUUCACAUCAGGUCUGGUACACAUCAUGGCAUACAUAAUAGAACCUAUGGCUGGGACGGCACUCAUCUUUUCUCUAUCUUCUGUCGUGGUUGGGCGUUGAGCUGUGCUCAACCUCACACCUUUUAAUACAUGCAAGAACCCCUUAUUGGCCUUAUCCAUAUUUAACUUCUUCAAUAUAUUGUCAAGGUAUGUGCUUUGUGAAAGACCAAUGAGGCAUCUCGAUCUAUCUCUAUAGAUCUUGAUGCCUAAUAUGUAGGCAGCUUCUCCAAGGUGCUUCACUGAAAAACUCUUAUUCAAAUAGGCAUUUAUGCUUUCCAAAAGUUAUAUAUCAUUUCCCAUCAACAAUAUGUCAUCCACGUAUAAUAUGAGAAAUGCUACAGAGCUCCCACUCACUUCCUUGUAAAUACAGGCUUCUCCAUAAGUCUGUACAAACCCAAACGCUUUGAUCACCUCAUCAAAACAAAUGUUCCAACUCCGAGAUUCUUGCACCAACCCAUAGAUGGAGCGCUGGAGCUUGCAUACCUUGUCAGCAUUAUCGGGAUCAACAAAAACUUUCAGUUGUAUCAUAUGCAAUUCUUCCUUAAGAAAGCCGUUCAGGAAUGUCGUUUUGACGUUGAGUUCAUAAUCAUAAAAUGCGGCAACUGCUAACAUGAUUUGGACCGACUUAAGCAUCGCUACAGGUGAGAAAGACUCAUGGUAGUCAAUCCUUGAACUUGUCGAUAACCCUUAGCGACAAAUCGAGCCUUAUAAGUGGUCACAUUACCAUCCGCGUCAGUCUUCUUCUUAAAGAUCCAUUUAUUUUCUAUGGCUCGCCGAUCAUCGGGCAAGUCCACCAAAGUCCAUACUUUGUUCUCAUACAUGGAUCAUAUCUCAGAUUUCAUGUCUUCAAGCCAUUUGUUGGAAUUCGGGCCCGCCAUCGCUUCUUCAUAGUUCAAAGGUUCACUGUUCUCCAACAACAUGAUUUCCAUGACAGGGUUGUCGUACCACUCUGGUGCGGAACGUGUCCUUGUGGACCUUCGAGGUUCAGCAACUUGAUCCAAAGAUUUAUGAUCAUCAUCAUUAACUUCCUCUCUAGUCGGUGUAGGCACCACAGAAACAUUUUCCUGCAUUGCGCUACUUUUCGGUUCAAGAGGAGGUACAAUUACCUCAUCAAGUUCUACUUUCCUCCCACUUACUUCUUUCGAGAGAAACUCAUCCUCUAGAAAGGAUUCGUUCUUGGCAACAAAUAUUUUUCCUUUGGAUCUAAUAUAGAAGGUAUAACCAAUAGUUUCCUUAGGUUAUCCUAUGAAGACGCAUUUUUCCACUUUGGGAUCGAGCUUCUCAGGUUGAAGUUUCUUCACAUAAGAAUCGCAGCCCCAAACUUUCAGAAACGACAGCUUAGGUUUCUUUCCGAACCAUAAUUCAUAUGGUGUCGUCUCAAGGAUUUAGACGGUGCCCUAUUUAAAGUGAAUGUGGCAGUUUCCAAUGCAUAUCCCCAAAAUGAUAGGGGUAAUCAGUAAGAGACAUCAUAGAUUGCACCAUAUCCAAUAGAGUGCCAUUACAACGUUCAGACACACCAUUACGCUGAGGUGUGCUAGGCAGCGUGAGUUGUGAAACAAUUCCACAUUUUCUUAAGUGCGUGCCAAACUCAUGACUCAAAUAUUCUCCUCCACAAUCAGAUCGUAAGAACUUUAUUUUCUUAUCACGUUGAUUCUCCACCUCACUCUGAAAUUCCUUGAACCUUACAAAGGUUUCAGACUUGUGUUUCAUUAAGUAGACAUACCCAUAUAUGCUUAAGUCAUCAGUGAGAGUGAGAACAUAACGAUAGCCACCGCGAGCCACAACGCUCAUUGGACCGCAUACAUCGGUAUGUAUUAUUUCCAACAAGUUGGUUGCUCGCUCCAUUGUUCCGGAGAACGGAGUCUUGGUCAUCUUGCCCAUGAGGUACGGCUCGCAUGUGUCAAAUGAUUCAAAAUCAAGAGACUACAAAAGUCCAUCUGUAUGGAGUUUCUUCAUGCGUUUGACACCGAUGUGACCAAGGCGACAGUGCCACAAGUAUGUGGGACUAUCAUUAUCAACCUUACAUCUUUUGGUACUCACACUAUGAAUAUGUGUAACAUCACGUUCGAGAUUCAUUAAGAAUAAACCAUUGACCAGCGGGGCAUGACCAUAAAACAUAUCACUCAUAUAAAUGGAACAACCAUUAUUCUCAGAUUUAAAUGAGUAGCCAUAUCGCAUUAAACGAGAUCCAAACACAAUGUUCAUGCUCAAAGCUGGUACUAAAUAACAAUUAUUAAGGUUUAAAACUAAUCUCGAAGGUAGAUGUAGAGGUAGCGUGCCGACGGCGAUCACAUCGACCUUGGAACCAUUCCCGACGUGCAUCGUCACCUUGUCCUAUGCGAGUCUUCGCUUAUUCUGUAAUUUCUGUUUUGAGUUGCAAAUGUGAGCAGCAGAACCGAUAUCAAAUACCCAGGAACUACUACGAGCAUUGGUAAGGUACACAUCAAUAACAUGUAUAUCAUAUACACCUUUGACGUUGUCGGCCUUCUUAUCCGCUAAGUACUUGGGGCAGUUCCGCUUCCAAUGACCGGUUCCCUUGCAAUAAUAGCACUCAGUCUCGGGUUUGGGUCCUUUCUUUGGCUUCUUCCUGGCAACUGGUUUACCGGGCGCGACAACUGCUUUUCCGUCCUACUUGAAGUUCUUUUUACCCUUGCCUUUCUUGAAACUGGUGGUCUUAUUCACCUUCAAGACAUGAUGUUCAGCAUUGACUACAACUCGGGAAGGGUUUUAUCCAUCCCUUGCAUGUUGUAGUUAAUCACAAAGCCCUUAUAGCUAGGUGGAAGCGACUAGAGGAUUCUGUCAAUAACCUCGUCAUCCGGAAGUUCAACUACCAGCCCAGUCAAGCGGUUGUGCAACCCAGACAUUCUAAGUAUGUGCUCGCUGACAAAACUAUUUUCCUCCAUCUUACAGCUGAAGAACUUGUCGGAGACCUCAUAUCUCUCGACCCGGGCAUGAUCUUGGAAAACCAGUUUCAGCUCUUGGAAUAUCUCAUAUGCUCCAUGUUGCUCGAAACGCCUUUGAAGCCCCGGUUCUAAACUGUAAAGCAUGCUGCACUGAACCAGAGAGUAGUCAACACUACGCGACUGCCAGGCGUUCAUAACAUCCUGGGAUGCUGCGGGAAUAGGAGGGUCACCUAGCGGUGCAUCAAGGACAUAUGCCUUCUUGGAUGCAGUGAGGAUGAGCUUUAAGUUACGAGCCCAGUUCGCAUAGUUGCUACCAUCGUCUUUCAACUUGCUUUUCUCUAGGAACACGUUGAAAUUGAAGUUGACAUGUGCAUUGGCCAUUGUAUCUACAAUAUUUGUAAAGACACUUUUAGACAAAGUUCAUGAUAAUUAAGUUCAUCUAAUCAAAUUAUAUAAUGAACUCCCACUUAGAUAGACAUCCCUCUCGUCAUCCAAGUGAUACAUGAUCCACGUCGACUAGCCCGUGUCCAAUCAUCACGUGAGACGGACUAGUCAUCAAUGGUGAGCAUCUCCAUGUUGAUCGUAUCAUCCAUACGACUCAUGUUCGACCUUUCGGUCUCCCGUAUUCCGAGGCCAUGUCUGUACAUGCUAGGCUCGUCGAGUCAACCUAAGUGUUUUGCGUGUGUAAAUCUGGCUUACACCUAUUGUAUUCGAAUGUUAGAAUCUAUCACACCCGAUCAUCACGUGGUGCUUCGAGACAACGAUCCUUCGCAAUAGUGCACACUUAGGAGAAUACUUAUCUCAAAAUUUUAGUGAAGGGAUCAUCUUAUUUACUAUCGUCGUUCUAAGCAAAUAAGAUAUAGAAACAUGAUAAACAUCACAUGCAAUCAUAUAGUGACAUGAUAUGGCCAUUAUCAUCUUGCGCCUUUGAUCUCCAUCUUCGGGCGCGGCAUGAUCAUCAUUGUCAUCGGCAUGACACCAUGAUCUCCAUCAUUGUGUCUUUGCAAAGUCGUCUCGCCAACUAUUACUUCUACUACUAUAGCUAACAGUUAGCAAUAAAGUAAAGUAAUCACAAGGCGUUGCAUCUCAUACAAUAAAUUAAGACAACUCCUAUGGCUCCUGCCAGUUGUCAUACUCAUCGACAUGCAAGUCGUGAAUCCUAUUACAAGAACAUGAUCAAUCUCAUACAUCACAUAUGUAACAUCACAUCCUUUUGGCCAUAUCACAUCACAUAGCAUACCCUGCAAAAACAAGUUAGAUGUCCUCUAAUUGUUGUUGCAAGUUUUACGUGGCUGCUAUGGAUUUCUCGCAAGAACGUUUCUUACCUACGUGACAGCCAUAACGUUGAUAUGUCAAUGCUAUUUACCCUUCAUAAGGACCCUUUUCAUCGAAUCCAAUUCAACUAAAGUGGGGGAGACAGACACCCGCUAGCCACCUUAUGCAACAAGUGCAUGUCAGGCGGUGGAACCAGUCUCACGUAAGCGUACGUGUAAAGUCGGUCCGGGCCGCUUCAUCCCACAAUACCGCCGAAAAAAGAUUGGACUAGUAACGGCAAGCAGUUGACACAAUCAUCACCCACAACUUUUGGGUUCUACUCGUGCAUAGAAUCUACGCAUAGAACCUGGCUCGGAUGCCACUUUGGGAAACGUAGUAGUAAUUCAAAAAAAAUUCUACGUCAUACCAAGGUCUAUCUAUGAGAAACCAGCAACGAGAGAGGUUGUAGAGCACCUUCGUACCUUUGAAGAUCGCUAAGCGGAAGCGUUACUAAGAACGCGGUUGAUGGAGUUGUACUCGCAGCGAUUCGGAUCGUGGAAGAUUCCGAUCUAAGCGUCAAACAACGACACCUCCGUGUUCAACACACGUGCAGCCCGGUGACAUCUCCUUCACCUUCAUCCAGCAAGGAGAGAGGAGAAGUUGAGGGAGAGCUCCGGCAGCACUACGGCAUGGUGACAGUGGAGCUGUGUGGUACUCCGGCACGGCUUCGCCAAGCGCUACGGAGGACGAGGACGAGGAGAGGUAGGGCUACCCUGAGGGAGUGAUGAACUUGUGUGUCUCAACCCCAAAACCCCUUGGGUAUAUAUAGGAGGAGGGGGAGGGCUGGCCGGCCACCCUAGGGUUUCCCCUAGGUGGUGCGACGCACCCUAGAUGGAGGGGCGGCGGCCUAAGAGGAAGAGGGGUGGUGCCCUAGGGGGUGGCUUGCCACCCAAGGCAACCACCACGCCCUAGGGUUUACUGCCCUAUGCACCUUGGGCCAAGGUGGAUGGCGCACCAGCCCAUCUAGGGGCUGGUUCCCAUCCACUUUUGGCCCACGUGGCCCUUUGGGGCUGGUGGCCCCUCCAGGUGGACCCCCGGAACACUUCCGGUGGUCCGGGUACAAUACCGAUGAUCCCCAAAACAUUUCCGGCGAUCAAAUCUCCACUUCCUACAUAUGAAUAUUAACCUGUGGACCAUUCCGGAGCCUCUCGUGAUGUCCGGGAUAUCAUCCAGGACUCCGAACAACCUUCGGCAACCACAUACUAUUCCCAUUACAACUCUAGCGUCAUCGAACCUUAAGUGUGUAGACCCUACGGGUUCGGGAACCAUGCAGACAUGACCGAGACACCUCUCCAGUCAAUAACCAACAACGGGGUCUGGAUAUCCAUGUUGGCUCCCACAUGUUCCGUGAUGAUCUCAUCGGAUGAACCACGAUGUCGGGGAUUCAAUCAAUCUCGUAUGCAAUUCCCUUUGUCUAUCGUUAUAUAACUUGCCCGAGAUUCGAUCGUCGAUAUCCCUGUACCUUAUUCAAUCUCGUUACCGGCAAGUCUCUUUACUCAUUCCGUAAUACAUCAUCCCGUGACUAACUCCUUAGUCACAUUGAGCUCAUUAUGAUGAUGGAUUACCGAGUGAGCCCAAAGAUACCUCUCCGUCACAUGGAGUUACAAAUCCCAGUCUCGAUUCGUGCCAACCCAACAGAUACUUUCGGAGAUACAUGUAGUGCACCUUUAUAAUCACCCAGUUACGUUGUGACAUUUGAUACACCCAAAGCACACAUACGGUAUCCGGGAGUUGCACAAUCUCAUGGUCUAAGGAAAUGAUACCUGACAUUAGAAAAGAUUUAGCAGAUGAACAAUACGAUCUAGUGCUAUGCUUAGGAUUGGGUCUUGUCCAUCACAUCAUUCUCCUAAUGAUGUGAUCCCGUUACCACUGGCAUCCAAUGUCCAUGGCUAGGAAACCAUAACCAUCUAUUGAUCAAUGAGCUAGCCAACUAGAGGCUCACUAGGGACAUGUUUUGGUCUAUAUAUUCACACAUUUAUUACGGUUUUCGGUUAAUACAAUUAUAGCAUGAACAAUAGACAAUUAUGAUGAACUAGGAAAUAUAAUAAUAACCACUUUAUUAUUGCCUCUAGGGCAUAUUUCCAAAAUCAGUGAUGGGCUCUCAUGCACUCGGCCCUCCUGUCCUAGUGGAAGGCCCUCCAUGCUUGAUCCUCCGAGCGUCUCGGCGGUCAUGAACACCACCAAAGCGACCUUGUCCUUCACCGUGAGAUCAGCCACGACUCUGGUCACCUUGACCACACAUCCCUUCGAUGUUCUGGAGGAAUUAUUUUUGCUGGAGCUGCCGAACAGACAAUUUCUCUUACUUGCCCCUACUCCCUUCCAGUACGCUUCUCCACUGAGAUUCUUAGCAAUAGAUGCUACUCUCUUUUCUUUUGGUAUAUUAGAAUAGCGCCCAAAAGUAUGGCCAACAAUCCCACAACACUCGCAGUACAACGGGAGUUUCUCAUACCUAACAUCAUACUUAAAACUCUCAGAAGUACCCAGGAGGGUGAACUCUGCUGAUGUCUUAAGAGGCUCAUGCAAAGGCACUUGCACCCUUAGGCGCAAGUAUUUCUCUACAAUCAUGUGAUUUCUAUGGGAAACAAUGAUCAUAUCACCAAGUUGUUCCCUUAAGGUCCAGCCCAUACUCUCGGUUUUUAGUUCAAAAGGGAGGUCACGAACCUGAAGCCAAAUUGUCAUCACGCCAAGGUCAACAUCUGUCGGGUUUCCCUUGCCGUCAAAUUCAGCAAAGAUGACUCCAUCGCACUUGUAGUGCCAUGGCUGGGCCUUCAACACGAAUCGUCGGGCCUUCAACCUCCCGUCCCCACUCCCCACUUCUGAACAGUGAAUGUUCCAUUCAGCCUCCAUGUCGAAGUCGCGCGGAGUUCGUCGGUGAUGAUCCAUGAGUUUAUCCAAAGAGUUAAACUCAUUGCAUUAUCUUUACAUUGGAAUUGCAACUUAUCAACUUUACGUUGGAGUCAUGCAGUUUUACACGCUCAUGACCAAACUGCAUAAUAGUAUUCCCCUCUAUCUUUGAUACGUGGAAAUCUACCAAGUUUUUCCCAUCUCAGAUAAUUCGGCUGCACACCGAUAUCACCACCCAGCAUACAUCAUUGGCCCCUCAACAUAUAGUUGGGAUCUAUGUGAGGAAUAAUUAUAUUUUCGUAAAUACCUCAAAUCCUUGCAUGGGGAUUUAUUCAAGUCCAGUAUGUUGAUUCAAUGACGAUUGUUUAUACGCAUUAGGGGGAGAAUUGAAGUACCAUAAAGAAUGUUAGAAAAAUAGUGGAAUGUUCAACGCAUUUUUGCCUCAAAUCCACGUACUAAAAGAGUUGAACCGUGUGUUCAGAGGAUUUGCAGUUGAUUGCAAAUAACCUGCCAGAUUCAUUUACUGACUAUAAAGGUGUCACCCAAUCCUAAAAUCCUACAAAAGUACACCUCAAAGAAUGGAGGUACCAACAAAAACCACUCCACUCCCCGUUCGAAGCAACGGAGGGAGAUGUAUGGAAAAAGUACAUCAAGAUUCAACCUCUUGCAAGCAAGGAUAUCAAGACCUAUGAAUCAGUAAAUGCAAGUUAAAUUCACAUUGAGAGACACCUAAUGGGUAGCAUACCCAGUGGAUGGGAAACCUCCACCAACAUAGGUCGUAGUGAACAUAAUGACCUCGACAUCGAAAUACCCGACUCAAUAGUAUUAGGAAAUCGUGACCAGUCACCAUGGGUAAUGAUAUUCCUUUCAACUCUAUAUUGAUAUAUAGAUUCUGGACAAACAUAUAACUGGAAGUCUACAAUUAUUGGCAUACAUUUCUCAACUAGAUUGCAAAAACCUUUCAAAUGAUACAGAUCCAAAGACCAUGGCCAUGGCAAAGUGUGAACAACACUCAGACUAAACUCAAUCAAAGGGUAUAAUCUAGGUAGAAUAAUCUUGCUCGAUAAUGGAAAUGUAUUCAUAAGCAAUACCGGCACAAGUUUUCUUCUAAAAACAGAAUUGAAAACAACAAGGUGGUGAAACAUAAAACAAGUACUGUAGCACAAGUCAGGGUGGGCAUUCGGUAUAAAAUGAAUUUUCUGUUUCUACCAUUCCGUUAAUUCUUAAAUUUGAUUGGGAAUGCUAGAAACUAAAAAUGCAAGCUAAAAAUUGAUAACCAAAAAUUCGGUCAACCGAAUAUUCAUUGCGGUUUUCGGUUUUAUGCCGAAGUACCACACUCUGAGUAUUUUUUUUCUCGUAGUGCAGCAGUGGCAUGCUUUGUAUAGGCAAAAUAUCUGCCUCAUCUUCUCAAUCGGGUGAGGUGGGACUAAAUGGCAUGGUCAGCUGUUAACAUAUCGCAUAUGCGUGCACGCCUUCACGAAAAAUCAAUCCAGUGUCAGCUAGGCCCUUGGGUGUUGGCUCCUACUUUUGGUCAGGUAGGCCCAUAUCCCACGUCAUGUGAGAUGCGCGUCCUGCGUUGGUCGCAUUAAUGCUUCAGCGACUGUGUGCGCAUGACUCCUGGAGACGUUGGUUGCGUCCACUUUACGAUGUAUCAUGUUUUCGGCUUUUUGUUCGAUUAACCAAGAUGAAUACCGAAUUGAUUGAUUUAUGUUCGAUUAGUGGAAAUGGAAACCGAAUUUUCUUGUAGCAAGAGAAAAAACCGAAAAUUUGGUUUAUUCGGUUUCGGUAUCGGUUCGGUCUUCGAUUCGUCGGUUUUUAUGCCCACCCCUAAGCACAAGGGUUCAAGAACAUACCCAACUAUUCUCAGAGGUGGAAUCUCUUUCCGAUAACUUAUAUCACAGGCAGUACAAACUUAUUCACAUAUAGAUGGUUCCCUAUGGAAUCUCAAUUCUGAAACAAAGUACAAACUGUAGCAUACAUUGUGUAAAAAUCAGUAAGUCACCAUACGACUUAAUGUUCUUGGUACAUAUGGUACUAUCGAUGUAGUGAGUUCCUUAUACACAAGGAUUUCUCCUACAAUGAUGAUUAUCCAUAUUUGUGUGUAUGCAAUGAGGACUCAUGUAAUCAUCUAAAUGAUGGAGUUUAAAAUGAAGGAUUUGGGUAAACCAAAAUACCGCUCGUUACUACAACUUGAGCACAUUCAUUCAUACUGUUGGGGAAUGUCGCAUGGGAAAUAAAAAAAUUCCUACGCACACGCAAUACCUAUCCAUGGGGAUGAUCAUCUACGAGAGGGGAGAGUGAAUCUACAUACCCCUGUAGAUCGCUAAGCGGAAGCGUAUAUAACGCGGUUGAUGUAGUGGAACAUCUUCGCGAUCCAAAUCGCAUCCCGUCCCGCGAUCUCAUCACGACCCGUCCCGCGAUCCCAUCAUGAUCCAUCCCGAUCUAGAGCCAAACGGAUGACACCUCCGCGUUCAGUACAUGCACAGCUCAAUGACGAUCCCCACCUUCUUGAUCCAGCAAGAGGGGUGGAGAGGUAGAUGAGUUCUCCAGCACGGCGACGUGGUGGUGGUGGUGGUGAACUAAUGUAACAGCCAAAAUGCUUUCUUUUCCCUUUUGUAAGCUUUUCCAAUUGUGGCAACCAUGUUGACCCUAUCUUAUGGAGGGUGACGUGGUUAUCAUUUCAUGUGCAUCUCAUGCAUCAUGCAUAUCUUGCAUAUUCCUAGUGCUUAGUCUUGUUCUUGGUGUGGUGCCACCUUCGUGAUGUGGUUGCAUGUGUCUUGUGUGUUCUUAUGAAGUCUGGUGUGGGUGCAACAAGGACCUUCAAAUCUUAGUUGCACCAAGGAUAAAAUAACCCCUCUCUCCUUUCUAUUUGAGGCAGAUUUUAAGUUUCUGUUUGGCCCAUUAAAAAUGUCCAACUUCUUUGAAAAACUACUGAAAUAUUUGUGGGUGACAACACUCACUUGUUUGAAGUUAUUUUCCUUUUUGUUUUAAUUUAAAACAGGGACAGAUUUAGUUAAACAAUUAAUUUUACUUUGCCCUAAAAUGCCUCACCUCUUUUUAUAAAUAGGAGGAGCAUUUUAGAAGCUUGUUUUUCCAGUUUUAUUCCUUUUUAUUUUUCCUCCCUUGCUUUAUUCCAAUCUGGUUGUUUUAUUUUUUUUAAAGAAAAGCAGCAUGUGGUUAAUUGAGAGAGUGUGAGGUAGCGGGAUGGGCUCCUGGCCCAUUUUCCUUUUCUCUAGCGCCAGAGCCCAUCUCCCUUUCCUUAUUCCUCCUCAUGCCGUCUUUCCCUCCUCCCUGCUUUCCGUGAGAGACAGCCAAAGAGAUAUGAGAGAGAGAGAGACGUGUGGCUGUGGCACGGACGCCAACGCCGUCAAGCCAUCGCCUAUUUAGCCCCCCUCGGCAUGCGUUCCUCCUAGGGUUCUGCACUUCCCUCCUCGCCGCCACCACCUUUUCCCUCUUCCCUCUAUUCUUCUCUGUAGUUAGAUCAGAGAGAGAGGUGAGAUUCAGAGAGGGGCCAGGAGGUGCCUCGCAAUCGUCGCCGUCGCCCUCGUCCAUGUCAACGCCUCCCGCUCAUGAAAGGAUGUCUGCGUCGCCCCCGACGGUGCCUUCGUCCCAUUCCCGUCGCUAGUGAGGCCAGAGCGCGUCCACAAUGUCGGCCACGUCCUCGUCUCCGGCGAGUUCCCGAAGCCCCCGAGCCCUUGCAGUAGCGCGCCAUCUUCUUCCUCCUCCUCUCCCAGAUCUCCUCUCCGGUUCCUUCGGUGAGAAUCCCCCCCCGUCUUUGUGCUUUGUUUUCCGUGCUUCGUCGCUGUCGUAGAUCGCCGGUACAUGCCAUAGCCGCCAUUGUCGUCAUGUCCAGUAGGAUGCAUGCUUGGGCUUUUGCCCUGUAGUGAGCAGUCGUGCUAAGCCCCGGGAAUGGAGCUCGCGUGGGGUUUCGCAGCCACGACGUGCUCUGCCUUGCCUCGCCAUGGAUGUAGCUUCCGCCAGCAGGGUCGUCUUCUUCCUGUUGCUGGAAAGGGAGGUCCAGCGAGAGGGGAAGUGUCAAAAGGCCCCGAGCUCCACUCCUAGCAGCUGCCUCGCCCGUAGCCCAGUGGUAGCGCCCGUGCUUCGGCCGAGAGGGCGUGGGUUCGAAUCCCCUCUCUGCAUAUUUUCUUUUUCUAAUUUGUGGAGUGCUGGAUCCAGUGUGGCUGUGUGUGGAUCUGGUGUGGAGAGUGUGUGUAGUUGUGUCCAUGUGUGUGUAUGACAGUGGGUCCUCUGGACCCACAUGUCAUCCUGUGAGGGCCACUGCCAGGUGGACCCCUCAUUAUUUUUUCCCUUGUUAUUUUGUUGUUGUUUGUGGAUGUUUUCCUGCCUUAGCAUUUUUCCUAAGUGUUGCAACUUAUGAUUUCUUGCCCUGUUUAGAGCCUUGUUAGAAGUAGAGUAUUGAUCUUUUGAUGUUGACUCAAUGGUAGAAAUGGUAGUGGGUGAACCCCUCUACAACUUGGAACAAGUAAUUUGCUUUUAGGAUUUUGCAUGUUAGAUUUACACCUUGUCAGAGUUGGCACUUGGCUGAAAAUGACAGUUUUGAGAAAAGUUGUGAAUUUCACAAAGUCUGGGAAGCUAGAGUUAUUUUCUUGCCCUGUGAUGUUGUGUAUAUUUGCUUCCCUGGUGAGAAUUAGCCGAAGCAACAAACUAAUGUUUGUUUGCUGGUAUGUUUGUCUAGAUCUUUGUAAAAUUUCAUGCCCAGAUACCUCCUGUAGAUAUCAUUUUGGAGACUGCCAAAAUGCUUCACAGCAUAAGCAUCUGGUGAAAAUCUGUAAUGUUCACUAAGUCCCAAUCUCUGAUGUUUUGUCCAAGAUAGGGGAUGUAUAUCUGCUGAUGUGUGAUCCCUUUGCCUUAGCCACUUGUUAUAGGUUGUAAUGCAGUUGGUUGGCUUAAGUUUCAUGUCCUCUUUGAAUUAUUUAGAGGGUUGUAGCUGCUAUAGAUCUUGUGGUCAAAGUGCUAUGUUGCUGCUAAAAACAGAUUGUGUGUCAAACUGGUUUUGAGCUUGUGUGAGCUAUGGUUGAUGGUUUUGUGUGUUCUCAAACACCAUCCCACUUGCAUUUUGGUGCUUUCUCAUUUGGCAACCUGGUUUCACCAGUGAGUGCCCACAGAAUUGUGUGUGUGGCUGUUUUGAAUCUGUAGACCUUCGUAACUUGUUUUGUAGUUUCCGAUUGGUCCGAGACUCCGUUCACGAUGUUCUUUAUAGGUUUUUGCAUCAUUUUCUUGUGAUGCAUAUGAUUAUGCCAUGUUCAUGCUUGUCAAGAUAACUUAACUUGAGGUUCUGUCCUGAAUAUAAACAACUCAACUAAUGCAUAUGAAAGUGACUAGAAUAGUUAUGCAUGCCCUCUUCAUCACACAUGCAUCAUAUUGGUUGUUGCAUUAUGUUUUGCUGGUGUUUAUUUGUUGUUAUCUUAUCUUUGGGUAGCAUCGGGUACGGAGAGCGACUACAUGGAUUCUGGAGAGUUCGUGCAGGAAGAACAAGAGAAGUUUCAGUCUGAAGAAAUCAUAGGCAAGAUGACCAUGACCUUGACACUGUUCCUAGCUCUGUUAUUCUUAGUGUUACGUUUCCUUCGUUACAUGUCCACUGUCUACCACAUGAUAUAAAGGCCAUCAAACUUUUUCGUGAAACCUCAAACACCUCCCUUCCUAGCAAAUAUUGUUUGGCUAAGUAGGCUUGCUCAACCUCUAAUUGAUAGCGUUGCUAGUUGCAGGUGAUAGCUGGUCCAUGUGAUAACAUGGGCAAUUCGAUAUCAUUAUGUUUAUCUGUUAUUUAAUUAAUGCACCUAUAUACUUGGUAAAUGGCGGAAGGCCUAGCCUUUUGCCAGGUGAUUUGUCCCGUUGUUGCCGCCUUAGUAUCGGCUACCGAUGUUUUAUUCCAUAACUAAGCGCUCCUAACAUGUUCGGGGUGUUAUGGGGACCCCCUUGAUAAAUCGUAUAGUGUUAAGACUUGUCUGGCAGGACCCAACCUUGGUAUUAAUUUGCUAAAAACUUAAAAUAAAAUGCAUAGGGAAUAGCUACCCCGAGGAAUUAAUCAACAACCCGGGCCAGUACUCCUCAUGAGUGUUGGUCCAAAGUGGGCAGACUGCAGGGCCACCGCGAGGAAACUUGAGGUCUGGUAUCAUGUAGGCUUUCCCAUCCGUCGUGUCUUGAGACAGAGAUACGCGGCUCUUAUCGGGGUCGUCGACACAUCGGGCGGUCUUGCCAGAUUUGUCUUUCCUUAGCGAUAUAUCUUGCGCAUUGGAAUUCCGGUGAGACUUUGGGUCUCUCAGAGUUGAGGUUUUCCUCCAAGAAAUCCGAUGAGAUCACGAGACUCGUGGUAGAGGAUUACUAUUCGGCCUAUGGUAAUUUGUGACGGACUAGUUGGAGCACCCCUGCAGGGUUUAAUCUUUCGGAAAGCCGUGCCCGCGGUUAUGUGGCAAAUAUGGAUGUUUUGUUAACAUCCGAUUCUAGACAACUUAAAGUGAUUCUAAUAAAAUUUCCAACUGAGUGUGUAACCGUGACUGUCUCCUUCAGAGCUCCAUCUCUAAUUGAGAACACGGUGGGGUUAUGAUUCACGUAAGUAGGUGUUCAGGAUCAUUUAGUGAUCAAUCUAGUCUUCGACCGUCUUGCGUAGACCACCUUAUGUUAACUAGGAUCAUCGUAAGGUAGCCACCAUAUAAGCUUAGGUUGCUGCAAACCCAUACACUUAACCUUCCUCACCCAUUAACUCGGCUAGAUUCGAUACCAAGGUCAUUCGAUUGUUGAGUCCUCGUGGCUCACGGUUUACUACAAACACCAACAGGUACAGGUACCCCUGAUGCAGGAGAUCUCGAUGUCAGCCAGUUGAAGUGGGAGUUCGAUGAGGACAGCGGCACGCUGUACGUGACUUAUCGAGAGGACUAGAGGUCGUGGUCGUGAUCGUGGGGCCAGCAUGCGGGAUAUCCUAGCUUUAUCUGUUUUUAUCUUGUCCGUAGCUGGACUAUACCAUGUUCUGAAUAAGUGUGUCUGUAUGACUAUGUGACUAUGUGCUUAUCAGAUGGCAAGUGUAUGCCCUACUUGUCACUCUUUCAGUUAAGUAUUGUUAUGAUUAUCUCGCUUGUGAAACGCGUAGAUGCGCCCCUUUCCCUUUUGAGGCCUCGCCCCCAAAUAAGGAAAGGGUCGAAUCUUAGUCGUUACAAGUUGGUAAUCAGAGCCUUACGACCAUAGGAGCCUUUGUGUGAUCGAACUUGGCCGAGUCCGGUCUAGCAAAACUAUUUUGAGUCUUAGUUAUAUCGGAGAGUAGGUUUCUUUUUUCUCCUCUUCUAUGCUCUGGUGAGGUUCACGACUUAGGAAAUCUUUAUUCUACUCCUCUUCUCGCUCAAAAAAAAUUAGGUUCACGCGGAUAUUUUUGGAAUCUACAUGAUGUUGAUGUCACGGAGUUCUGUCUUGGUGCCUCCUAUCUUACUUGAUUUCUUCCGGGGAGUUGAGCUCCAGGGGAUUCUUGAGCACAUCGCUAUCAUUCAGAAUUCUUAGUAUCUCAGGACGGAGGAUGUUCGUAAUUGCUUCGAUAUUAGUAGUGACGAGAGGAGUCCGGCUUCCCCAGUACUGUUGCAGAAAGUUCCGGAUGUAUCGCCACACUUAGUAUCAUUAUGAUUACGAGGGUCUGUGAUAGAUGAAGUUCCGAGAUUCUGGUUAUGUGUUGACGGAUGUGAUACACUGGACGGGUUAGUAUAGGAGUUGAGUGAUAUAUUACUCCUUGUAUCCGUGGACCAGAUUGCAUGACCAGAAAUUUUGGGAGUUCAUAGGUGGGUUAUCAGGUAGUGACUUAUAGGACAAUUUUCCUACAGAUGCAUGAUGUGAGGUUGGGAUUCGACAUUCAGUGGGUCUGUUUGUUCAGGGUCAUCUUAGAGCGGNNNNNNNNNNNNNNNNNNNNNNNNNNNNNNNNNNNNNNNNNNNNNNNNNNNNNNNNNNNNNNNNNNNNGAGCGGUUCUCGUUGUGUCUUAUGAGUCCUUGUAGCUUGCUACGACUCGGGGACGCUUCGUUUGUCGUGCGCACUGCCUUGCACAGGAUGGCUACAGUAAGCUCGAGCCCGUGCGAUCAUAUCCACGAAGAUAUCGGAUGGAAUCUGUGUCAUAAGUUUGUUCGGAGCAAUCCUAGCUCAUACUUGGUUUGCGAGUGGCCUUCAAUCAGAUGAUGUCGGCAGUCACUUUGAGGAAGCAUUCUUACUAAUUAUUGUUCGAAUGCAAUUGCUAAAUAUUCUUGUUCAGAUAUUUCUGCCUAUUGAUUCAGCUUUACCUUGAAUGUUAAUCUCCGGCCUAAUGUGUUGUCCGUCUUCAGGAUGACUCCACCAACUCGCCAGAAUCCGGGUCGCGAGGGUGCUGAUGCUCCGCCUCCACAUCCUCCGCCUCCUCCACCGCUGCCGCCUCCUCCAUAGGCAUGGCAAGCGGUGAUGGCUUGCAACAAAUGCUAACACCCAGAUGUUACUUCAAUUGUUCCAAGGGAGGCAGAAUGAUCAGCUGGGACAAUUUCUGCAAAGAUUUCAGAUCUCACUAUAUCCCGUCUAGCUUUGUCGAAGAGAUGCGUGAGAAGUUCAGAUGCUUGAAGCAAGGGGGAUCUUCUGUGUACAAGUACAACAUCGAGUUCCACGAGCGGGCUCGAUAUGCUUUGCAGGACAUUCCAGAUCAAAAGAGCAAGAUUUAUCAGUCCAGAGGUGGUUUGAAGGAAGACUUGCAGUUGGCCCUUGCCUUGCAUGAUCCCGAUGAGUUCGAUAAGUUCUAUAACUUGGCUCUCAGGGCUGAAGCAGCUUUGCUCAAAGUGGAGAAUUCGAGGAAGCAUUUUAGAGAUUCCAGUUCCUCGCCCUCAACUCAGGUGGUCCGGAAGCAGCAGAAAUAUUGUGUGUCUCCUCCUCCUCGACAGAUUCAGCAGUUCAAGUAGUCAGGUGGUCGUGGUUCUUUCCACCCACCAACCCAGCUUUCGAGCACAGGUUUCAGCAGCAAAAGCAAGGGAAUCCUCAAGUUCAAUUCCGUCCGCUGUCAGAUGUCACCUGUCAUAAGUGUGGGCAGAAGGGUCACUACUCCAACAAGUGCACCUCUCAGCAGCAUCUCCCCCCCCCCUCCUCCAGGGAAGCCUCCAGGCAAUGCAAUGGUGAAGUUCAAUCCGAGGUCUGCGCGAGUCAAUAUGGUGAAUGCAGCAGAAGAAGAAAAUCCCCAGACGUGAUAAUGGGUAAUCUCUCAGUUAAUGAUAUUCCUGCAAACGUAUUGACACUGGUGCUUCGCAUUGUUUCAUAUCAUAUCCAUUUGCAUCCAAGCAUAAUCUGCAUCAGGAGCAGUUGCCUAAGCCGUUGGCACUUGUUUCCCUUGGGAAACAUAUGAGUUCUAGUUUGGUGGUUCCCGAGGUCUGUGUCAAGAUGGGCGGUUAUGCCUUUCUGGCUUCUCCAAUUGUACUUGGCAACUCUGCUAUUGAUCGGAUCCUUCGGAUGGAUUGGUUGGCUAUGAACAAGGCAUCUAUUGAUUGUGAAGCUAAAGAAGUGAAGCUAACUCAUCCUUCGGAGGACGUGAUUAUCUUCGCGGCGCGUGAUGACACGAUCCGUCUGUUUUCCUUGAAUCAGAAGGGUGAGAUCUCUCCAACUUCUCAAGUCCCGGUGCUCUGCGAGUAUGAAGAUGUCUUUCCGGAAGAACUACCAGGNNNNNNNNNNNNNNNNNNNNNNNNNNNNNNNNNNNNNNNNNNNNNNNNNNNNNNNNNNNNNNNNNNNNNNNNNNNNNNNNNNNNNNNNNNNGCACCGAGAAGUUGAGUUCGUAAUUGAGAUCGAACCGGGUACUGAACCAAUAAGCAAGCGGCCGUACAAACUGGGUCGAGAAGAGCUGAAGGAGCUAAAGAAGCAGCUUGAUGAGUGAUACGUCUCAAACGUAUCUAUAAUUUUUGAUGGUUUCAUGCAUGCUGUUAUCUUGUCAUCUUUGGAUGUUUUAUGUACCUUUUAUAUCUUUUUUGGGACUAACUUAUUAAUUCAAUGCCAAGUGCGAGUUCCUGUUUUUUCUGUGUGUUUUGGCUCUUUUCAGAUCUGAUUUUGGAACGGAGUCCAAAUGGAAUAAAAUCCCCGAAAUGACUUUUUCCCGAACGGAAGAAGAUCAGGGGGCUUGUGGGCCUAGCCAGGAGGGCUACAGGGAGCCCACAAGCCCCCACUCUGUCACCAAGGGGCGGCGGUGGGCAGGCUUGUGGCCUCCCUGGCGCCCCCUGACCUAGAUCUUGCGCCUAUAUAUUCCCUAAAAAUCAGAAAAAAAUCAAGGGAUCCACGAAAAUACUUUUCCCCCGCCGCAAGCUUUCGUUUCCGUGAGAUCUCAUCUGGAGACCCUUCCCGGUGCCCGGCCGGAGGGGACUUUGGAGGUGGAGGGCUUCUACAUCAACAUCAUCGCCCCUCCAAUGACUCGUGAGUAGUUCACUUCAGACCUACGAGUCCGUAGUUAGUAGCUAGAUGGCUUCUUCUCUCUCUUGGAUCUUCAAUACUAAGUUCUCCAUGAUCUUCAUGGAGAGCUAUCCGAUGUAAUUUUCUUUGGCGGUGUGUUUGUCGAGAUCCGAUGAAUUGUGGAUUUGUGAUCAGAUUAUCUAUGAUAUAUAUUUGAGUCUUUGCUCAUUUCUUAUAUGCAUGAUUUGAUAUCCUUGUAAGUCUCUCCGAGUCUUGGGUUUUGUUUGGCCAACUAGAUCUAUGAUUCUUGCAAUGGGAGAAGUGCUUGGUUUUAGGUUCUUACCGUGUGGUGACCUUUCCCAGUGACAGUAGGGGCGGCAAGGCACACAUCGUGUAGUUUCCAUCAAGGGUAACAAGGUGGGCUCUGUCAUAGAUAUGAGAUUGUCCUUCUACAUCAUGUCAUCUUGCUUAAGGCGUUACUCCGUUCUUUUGGACUUAAUACACUAGAUGCAUGAUCGAUAGCGGUCGACGUGUGGAGUAAUAGUAGUAGAUGCAGAAAGUAUCGGUCUACUUGUUUUGGACUUGAUGCCUAUAGAUAUAAUCAUUGACAUAGAUGACGUCACGACUUUGCGCGGUUCUAGCAAUUGCUCGAUACUAAUUUGUUCACUCACCGUCUACUUGCUUUCAUGAGAGAAGCCACUAGUAAACACUACGGCCCCCGGGUCUAUUCACACCUAUCAUUUCCACUUUCGCUUUUACUUUGCUUUGUUACUUUGUUGCUUUCAGUUCUCACUUGGCGAACAAUCUAUAAGGGAUUGACAACCCCUUCAUAGAGUUGGGAGCAAGCUUUUUGUGUUUGUGCAGGCUCUUGUGAUACUCCUUCACUGGAUCGAUACCUUGGUUCUCAAACUGAGGGAAACACUUACCACCGCUGUGCUACAUCACCCUUUCCGCUUCGAGGGAACACCAACACAAGGCUCCAAGGCCACGGGGUAAAUCCUUUGCAUAUUUGCCUAGGAAGUCCCUUAAGGCAUAGCCGUAGCAGAAGGAUUCCUGGUGCCGUCGACACACCUAUUUCUGGCGUCGUUGGAAGGUCUUUUGUUGCAGUAGCAAUGAGCAAGAGCGUCUGGGUCUGAUCAGACCAAGCUCAUCUCCUUGGGGUUGUGGAGUUCUUUUUGUCAAGAAGAAGGAUGGCACGGACCGACUCUGUGUCGAUUACCGUCCAUUGAAUAAGAAGACGAUGAGAAACAAGUAUCCACUUCCCAACAUCAAUGAGUUGUUCGAGCAAUUGAAAGGGGCUAAGAUCUUCUCGAAGCUUCAUCUCAGGAUGGGCUAUCAUCAGAUUCGCAUUCUUGAAGAGGGCAUUCCCAAGACUACCUUCGGUACAAGCUUUGGCUCAUAUGAGUACACAGUGAUAUCUUCCGGUCUCGCCAAUGCUCCACCGACCUUCUGUCGGAUGAUGAAUUAUAUCUUCUCUCCAUUCAAAAAUGAAUUUGUCUUGUUGUAUCUUGAUGACAUUCUGGUCUUUUCAGAAACUGAGGAAGAGUAUGAAGAACAUCUCCGGCUUGUGCUUGAUAAGCUAAGAGAGCAUAAGUUCUAUGCUAAGUUUUCCAAGUGUGAGUUCUGGUUGAAGGAAUUUGUGUACCUUGGGCACAUCAUCUCUGCCGAGGGCAUCAAAGUUGAUCCAUCAAAGGUGCAGGACAUUGUUGAGUGGGAACCUCCUCAGAAUGUGAAGCAGCUUUGAAGCUUUCUUGGGCUUGCAAGCUAUUGCAGAAGAUUCGUUGAGAAUUUCUCCAAGAUUGCUAAGCCUCUCUCAAGCCUUCUUCAGAAGAGUGUGAAGUUUGUCUGGUCUCUAGAGUGUUAGUUGGCCUUCGGCACACUCAAGGACAAGCACACUUCUACUCCAGUCUUGACUCCUCCUGAUGAUUCCAAGCCUUAUUAAGUGUUCUGUCAUGCCUCUCUUCAAGUUCUUGGUCCAGUUCUGAUGCAAGAGAAGAAAGUGGUAGAUUAUACCUCGAGGUAGUUGAAGCCAAGUGACAAGAAUUAACCCACUCAUGAUCUUGAGUUGGCAGCAGUGGUACAUGCUCUGAUGACUUGGAGACACCUCUUGUUGGGCAGUCAAGUUGAGGUCUACACCGAUCACAAGAGUCUCAAAUAAAUCUUAACCCAGCCUAAUCUCAAUCUUCGGCAAAAUCGUUGGGUGGAAAUGCUCCAAGAUUAUAAUCCGAGUGUUGACUACACUCCAGGCAAAGUUAAUGUCAUUGCAGAUGCUUUGAGCAGGAAGGCUUACUGCAACAGUCUCAUUCUCAAGCCUCUCCAGCCUGAUCUUUGUGAAUCUUUCAGGAAGCUCAACCUUGAGUUAGUACCUCAGUGAUUUCUUGCUAAUCUCCAGAUUUCUCCUACCUUGGAAGACCAAGUCCGACAAACUCAACUUCUUGAUGCUAUGGUGAAGAAAGUUAAGAUUGGCUUGGCAAAGAGCAUUCCCAAAUAUAAGUGCUUCCGUGACAGAGAUACCUUGUUCUUUGAGGAUCACCUUGUCGUUCCGAAAGGGGAUCUCAGGAAAGUUAUCAUGGAAGAAGCCCAUAAUUCCCUUCUCUCGAAACAUCCAGGAAGUUCCAAAAUGUAUCAGGAUCUGAAGCAGACCUUCUGGUGGACUCGCAUGAAACGUGAAAUUGCUCAGUUCGUGAACGAGUGUGAUGUUUGUCGCAGAGUGAAAGCAGAGCAUCAACGUCCACCAGCUCUUUUGCAUCCCUUGCCCAUUCCCGAGUGGAAAUUCGAUCAUGUUGAGAUGGAUUUCGUCACUGGUUUCUGAAGUCCAAGAAAGGCAACGAUGCCAUCUUCGUCGUCAUCGACAAGUUGACCAAAGUCUAUCACUUCCUUCCAGUCAAGGAGUCUAUCUCGGUAGCUCAACUUGCAGAGUUGUAUACGUCAAGGAUAGUCUCAUUGCAUGGUGUUCCAAUGCUGAUAUCUUCGGAUCACGGAAGCAUUUUUACUUCCAAGUUCUGGGAUUCAUUUCAGUCUAGGAUGGGUACUAAGAUUCGAUUCAGUACAUCGUUCCAUCCUCAGACAAGUGGGCAAGUUUAGAGAGUCAAUCAGGUCCUCGAGGAUAUGCUAAGAGCCUGUGUGAUUUCGUUUGGCAUGAAGUGGGAAGACUGCCUACCAUUUGCCGAAUUCUCAUACAACAAUAGCUAUUAGGCAAGCUCAGGCAAGGCUCCAUUAGAGAUUCUUUAUGGCAAGAAGUGUCGUACCCUGCUCAAUUGGUCAGAGACUGGUGAGCGCAGAUUCUUGGGAUUGACAUGAUUGCUGAAGCAGAAGAAAUGUGUCGUGUCAUUCGGGAUAAUCUCAAAGUAGCACAGUCCCAUCAGAAGAGCUACUACGAUAGCAAACAUCGUGACAUGACUUUUCAGCUCGAUGGUUUCGUGUAUCUCAAGGUGUCUCCCAUGAAGGGAACUCAGCGCUUUCGCAUCAAAGGGAAGCUUGCUCCUCAUUUUGUUGGUCCUUUCAGAAUUGUUGGCAAGAGAGGCGAUCUUGCAUAUCAGUUAGAUCUCCCUUCCAACUUCUCAAAUGUGCAUGACGUGUUUCAUGUCUCUCAGCUCCAGAGAUGCUUCAAGACUCCCGAGCGCAUAGUUGAUCUCCAGGAUAUCGACCUCCAGCCCGACCUAUCCUAACAUGAGCAUCGAGUUGCAGUUCUUGAAGUGACUGAGCGCAAGACCCGCAAUAAGUCAAUCAAGUUUCUCAAAGUGCAAUGGUCACAUCAUUCCGACAAAGAGGCCACUUGGGAGCGCAAGUAUCACCUCCGUUCCGAAUUUCCAGGGUUAUUCCAGUCCUAGAUCUCGGGUCGAGAUCCUCUUGUAGUGUGGGAGAGUUGUAACAGCCCAAAUGCUUUCUUUCCCCUUUUGUAAGAUUUUCCAAUUGUGGUAACCAUGUUGAACCUAUGUUAUGGAGGGUGAUGUGGUUAUCAUUUCAUGUGCAUCUCAUGCAUCAUGCAUAUCUUGCAUCUUCCUCGUGCUUAGUCUUGUUCUUGGUGUGGUGCCACCUUGGUGAUGUGGUUGUAUGUGUCUUGUGUGUUCUUAUGAAGUGUGAUGUGGGUGCAACAAGGACCUUCAAAUCUUAGUUGCACCAAGGACCAAAUAACCCCUCUCUCCUUUCUAUUUGAGGCAGAUUUUAAGUUUCUGUUUGGCCCAUUAAAAAUGUCCAACUUCUUUGAAAAACUAUUGAAAUAUUUGUGAGUGACAACACUCACUUGUUUGAAGUUAUUUUCCUUUUUGUUUUAAUUUAAAUCAGGGACAGAUUUAGUUAAACAAGUAAUUUUACUUUCCUCUAAAAUGCCUCACCUAUUUUUAUAAAUAGGAGGAGCAUUUUAGAAGCUUAUUUUUUUAUUUUCAAUUUUAUUCCUUUUUCUUUUUCCUCCCUCACUUUAUUCCAAUCUCGUUGUUUUCUUUUUUUAAAGAAAACCAGCAUGUGGUUAAUUGAGAGAGUGUGAGGUAGCAACAUGGGCUCCUCGCCCAUUUUCUUUUCUCUAGCGCCAGAGCCCAUCUCCCUUUCCUUGUUCCUCCUCACGCCGUUUUCCCCUCCUCCCUGCUUUCCGUCAGAGACAGCGAGAGAGAUGUGAGAGAGAGAGAGACGCGUGGUCGUGGCACGGACGCCAACGCCGUCAAGCCAUCGCCUAUUUAGCCCCCCUCAGCGUGUAUUACUCCUAGGGUUCCGCAUUUCCCUCCUCGCCGCCGCCACCUUUUCCCUCUUCCCCGUGUUCUUCUGUGUAGUUAGAUCAGAGAGAGAGAGAGAGGUGAGAUUCAGAGAGGGGCUAGGAGGUGGCUCGCCAUCGUCGUCGUUUCCCUCGUCCACGUCGACGCCUCCCUCUUGUGCAAGCAUGUCCGCGUCACCCCCGACGGUGCCUUCGUCCCAUUCCUGUCGCUAGUGAGGCCUGAGCGCGUCCACAACAUCGGCCCCAUCCUCGUCUUCGGCGAGUUCCCGAAGCCCCUAAGCCCCUGCAGCAGCGCGCCAUCUUCUUCCUCCUCCUCGCCCCGAUCUCCUCUCCGGUUCCUUCAGCGAGCAUCCUCCCGUCUCCGUGCUUUGUUUUCCACGCUUAGUCAUCGUCGUAGAUCGCCGGUAGGUGUCGUAGCCUCCAUUGUCGCCAUGUCCAGUAGGAUGCAUGCUUGGGCUUUUGCCCCGUAGUGAGCAGUCGUGCUAAGCCCCGGGAAUGGAGCUCUCGUGGGGUUCCGCUGGCGCGACGUGCUCUGCCUUGCCUCGCCAUGGCUGUAGCUGCCGCCGGCAGGGUCUUCUUCUUCCUGUCAUCGGAAAGGGAGGUCCAGCGAGAGGGCAAGGUUCAAAAGGCCCCGAGCUCCCCUCCUAGCAACUGCCUCGCCCGUAGCCCAGUGGUAGCGCGCCCGUGCUUCGGCCGAGAGGGCAUGGGUUCGAAUCCCCCCUCUGCAUAUUUUAUUUUUCUGAUUUGUGGAGUGCUGGAUCCAGUGUGGUUAUGUGUGGAUCUGGUGUGGAUAGUGUGUGUAGCUGUGUGCAUGUGUGUGUAAUUGUGUGUGUAUGACAGUGGGUCCUCUGGACCCACAUGUCAUCCUGUGAGGGCCACUGCGAGGUGGACCCCUCAUUAUAUUUUUUCCUUUGUUAUUUUGUUGUUGUUUGCAGACGUUUUCCUGCCUUAGCAUUUUUCCUACGUAUUGCAACUUAUGAUUUCUUGCCCUGUUUAGAGCCUUGUAAUAAGUAGAGUAUUGUUGUUUUGAUGUUGAGUCAAUGGUAGAAAUGGUAGUCGGUGAACCCCUCUACAACUUCGGACAAGUAUUUUGCUGUUAGGAUUUUGCAUGUUAGAUUUACACCUUGUCAAAGUGGGCACUUGGUUGAAAAUGACAGUUUUGAGAAAAGCUAUGAAUUUCACCAAGUCUGGGAAAUUGGAGUUAAUUCUUCCCGUGUGAUGUUGUGUAUAUUUGCUUCCCUGUUGAGAAUUAGCCCAAGCAACAAACUAAUGUUUGUUUUCUAGUAUGUUUGUCUAGCUCUCUAUAAAAUUUCAUGCCCAGAUACCUCAUGUAGAUAUCAUUUUGGAGACUGCCAAAAUGCUUCAGAGCAUAAGCAGCUCGUGAAAAUCUGUAAUUUUCACUAAGUCCCAAUUUGUGAUGUUUUGUCCAAGUUAAGGGUUGUAUAUCUGCUGAUGUGUGAUUCCUUUGCCUUAGCCACUUGUUAGAGGUUGUAAUGCAGUUGGUUGGCUUCAAUUUCAUGUCUUGUUUGAAUUGUUUAGAGGGCUAUAGCUGCUAUAGAUCUUGUGGUCAAAGUGUUAUGUUGCUCUUAAAAAUAGAUUGUGUGUCAAACUGGUUUUGAGCUUGUGUGAGCUAUGGUUGAUGGUUUUGUGUGUUCUCAAACACCAUCCCACUUGGAUUUUUGUGCUUUCUCAUUUGGCAACCUCGUUUCACUAGUGAGUGCCCAUAGAAUUGUGUUUGUGGUUGUUUUGCAUCUGUAGACCUUCGUAACUUGUUUUGUAGUUUCUAGUUGAUCCGAGACUCCGUUCACGACGUUCUUUAUAGGUUUUUGCAUCGUUUUCUCGUGAUGCAUAUGAUUAUGCCAUGUUCAUGCAUGUCAAUAUAACUUAAAAUGAGGUUCUGUACUGAAUAUAAACAACUCAACUAAUGCAUAUGAAAGUGACUAGAAUAGUGAUGCAUGCCCUCUUCAUCACACAUGCAUCAUAUUGGUUGUUGCAUUAUGUUUUGCUGGUGUUUAUUUGUUGAUAUCUUAUCUUUGGGUAGCAUUGGGAAUGGAGAGCGAGUAUGUGGAUUUUGGAGAGUUCGUGCACGAAGAACAAGAGCAGUUCCAGUCUGAAGAAAUCAAAGGCAAGAUGACCAUGACCUUGACACAGUUUCUAGUUGUGUUAUGCUUAGUGUUACGUUUCCGUCGUUACAUGUCCGCUGCCUACCACAUGAUAUAAAGGCCAUCAAACUUUGCCAUGAAACCUCAAACACCUCCCUUCCUAGAAAAUAUUGUUUGGCUAAGUAGGCUUGUUCAACCUCUAAUUGAUAGUGUUGCUAGUUGCAGGUGCGAGCUGGUCCAUGUGAUAACAUGGGCAAUUCGAUAUCAUUAUAUUUAUCUGUUAUUUAAUUAAUGCACAUAUAUACUUGGUAAAUAGCGGAAGGCCUAGCCUAUUGUCGGGUGAUUUGUUCCGUUGUUGCCGCCUUAUUAUGAACUACCGGUGUUUCAUUCCAUAACUGAGCGCUCCUAACACGUUCGGGGUGUUAUGGGGACCCCCUUGAUAAAUCGUAUAGUGUAAACACUUGUCUGGAAGGACCCAACUUUGGUAUUAAUUUUCUAAUAACUUAAUAAUAAAAUGCAUAGGGAAUAGCUACCCCGAGGAGUUAAUCAACAACCCGGGCCAGUGCUCCUCAUGAGUGUUGGUCCAAAAUGGGCAGACUGCAGGGCCACCAUGAGGAAACUUGAGGUCUGGUAUCCUGUAGGCUUUCCCAUCCAUCUGUCCUGAGACUGAGAUACGCGGCUCUUAUCGGGGUCGUCGACACGUCGGGCGGUCUUGCCAGAUUUGUCUUUCCUUAGCGAUAUAUCUUGCGCAUUGGAAUUCCGGUGAGACUUUGGGUCUCUCAGAGUUGAGGUUUUCCUCCAAGAAAUCCGACGAGAUCACGAGAGUCGUGGUAGAGGAUUACUAUGCGGCAUGUGGUAAUUUGUGACGGACUAGUUGGAGCACCCCUGCAGGGUUUAAUCUUUCGGAAAGCCGUGCCCGUGGUUAUGUGGAAAAUAUGGAUGUUUUGUUAACAUACGGUUCUAGACAACUUAAAGUAAUUCUAAUAAAAUAGCCAACUGAGUGUGUAACCGUGACUGUCUCCUUCAGAGCUCCUUCUCUAAUCGAGAACACGGUGGGGUUAUGAUUGAUGUAAGUAGGUGUUCAGGAUCAUUUAGUGAUCAAUCUAGUCUUCGGCCGUCUUGCAUAGACCACCAUAUGUUAACUCUGAUCAUCGUAAGGUAGCCACCAUAUAAGCUUAGGUUGUUGCAAACCCAUACACUUAACCUUCCUCACCCAUUAACUCGGCUAGAUUCGAUACCAAGGUCAUUCGAUUGUUGAGUCCUCGUGGCUCACGGUUUACUACAAACACCAACAGGUACAGGUACCCCUGAUGCAGGAGAUCUUGAUGACAACCAGUUGAAGUGGGAGUUCGAUGAGGACAGCGGUAGGCUAUACGUGACUUAUCCGGAGGACUAGAGGUCGUGGUCGUGAUCGUGGGGCCAGCACGCGGAAUAUCAUAGCUUUAUCUCUUCUUAUCUUGUCCGUAGCUGGACCAUACCAUGUUUUGAAUAAGUGUGUCUGUAUGACUAUGUGACUAUGUUCUUAUUAGAUGGCAAGUGUAUGCC